rnacentral:rRNA from 1 species
GUAACAGAGGGUUCGAUCAUGGCUCAGAUUGAACGCUGGCGGGAUGCUUUACACAUGCAAGUCGAACGGGCAGUACGGACUUCGGUCUGGUGGCGAGUGGCGAACGGGUGAGUAAUGUAUCGGAACGUGCCUAGCAUGGGGAUAACUACGCGAAAGCGUAGCUAAUACCGCAUGGCCGCCCUUCGGGGAAAGCGGGGGGACCUGGCCUCGCACUAUUAGGAGCGGCCGAUAUCGGAUUGGGCUUGAAGUUGGUGGGGUAACGGUCACUGUUGCUGACGAUCCAGAAGGUUGAGGACGACCAGCCGCACUGGGACUGGAGAUACGUCUGACUACGGGAGGCAGCAGUGGGGAAUUUUGACAAUGGGGAACCCUGAUCCAGCCAUCCCGCGUGCGAUGAAGGCCUUCGGGUUGUAAAGCACUUUUGGCAGGAAGAACGGCACGGAUAAUACCCCGUGCAACUGACGGUACCUGCAGAAUAAGCACCGGCUAACUACGUGCCAGCAGCCGCGUAAUACGUAGGUGCAAGCGUUAACUGGAACUACUGGGGCGCAAGUGCAGGCGGUUCGGGAAAGAAAGAUGAAAUCCCAGAGCUUAACUUUGGAACUGCAUUUUUAACUACCGAGCUAGAGUGUGUCAGAGGGAGGUGGAAUUCGCGUGUAGCAGUGAAUGCGUAGAUAUGUAGAGGAACACCGAUAUGAAGGCAGCCUCCUGGGAUAACACUGACGCUCAUGCACGAAAGCGAGCAAACAGGAUUAGAUACCCUGGUAGUCCACGCCCUAAACGAUGUCAACUAGCUUUUCGUUGGGGCCUUCGGGCUCGGUAGCGGAAGAAUGGCAGGAAGUUGACCGCCUGGGAGUACGGUCGCAGAUUAAACUCAAAGGAAUUGACGGGGACCCGCACAAGCGGUGGGAUGGCGACGAUCCGAUAACGGCGAAAAACCUUACCUACCCUUGACAUGUCUGGAAUCCCGAAGAGAUUUGGGAGUGCUCGCAAGAGAACUGAACACAGGUGCUGCAUGACACGUCAGCUCGUGUCGAGAUGCUGGGUUAAGUCCCGCAACGAGCGCAACCCUUGUCAUUAGUUGUUACGAAAGGGCACUCUAAUGAGACUGUUGCGACAAACUGAGGAAGGUGGGGAUGACGCUCAAGUCCUCAUGGCCCUUAUGGGUAGGUCUUCACAUCGCCAUACAAUGGUCGGGACAGAGGGUCGCCAACCCGCGAGGGGGAGCCAAUCCCAGAAACCCGAUCGUAGUCCGGAUCGGGUAGUCUGCAACCCGACUGCGCAAGCCGGAAUCGGGUACACUGUGGAUCAGCAUGUCGCGGUGAAUACGUUCCCGGGUCUUGUACACACCGCCCGUCACACCACGGAGUGGGUUUACCAGAAGUAGUUAGCCUAACCGUAAGGAGGGCGAUUACCACGGUAGGAUUCAUGACUGGGGUGAAGUCGUAACAAGGUAA